CAGCCCUAAAACGAUGCGCGUUAGGUGUAUCGGUGACCACGAGUCACCGAGGUGCCGAAGGGAAACCGUGAAACGUGCCGCCUGGGAAGUACGGUCGCAAGGCUGAAACUUAAAGGAUUGGCGGGGGAGCACCACAACGGGUGGAGCCUGCGGUUUAAUUGGACUCAACGCCGGGAAGCUCACCGGAUAAGACAGCGGAAUGAUUGCCGGGCUGAAGACCCUGCAUGACCAGCUGAGAGGUAGGUGCAUGGCGUGUGACUGU
rnacentral:rRNA from 1 species